UGGGGAAUAUUGGGCAAUGGGGGAAACCCUGACCCAGCAACGCCGCGUGAGGGAAGAAGGUUUUCGGAUUGUAAACCUCUGUUCUUGGAGAAGAGUGGAAGACGGUAUCCAAGGAGGAAGCCCCGGCUAACUACGUGCCAGCAGCCGCGGUAAUACGUAGGGGGCGAGCGUUGUCCGGAAUGAUUGGGCGUAAAGGGCGCGCAGGCGGCCAUUCAAGUCGGUAGUGGAAGUCCAUUUUUCAAGGGUGGAAGUGCUAUUGAAACUGUAUGGCUUGAGUGCGGGAGAGGUUAUCGGAAUUCCCGGUGUAGCGGUGAAAUGCGUAGAGAUCGGGAGGAACACCAGUGGCGAAGGCGGGUAACUGGACCGCAACUGACGCUGAGGCGCGAAAGUGUGGGGAGCAAACAG
rnacentral:rRNA from 1 species